rnacentral:rRNA from 1 species
AUUGAACGCUGGCGGCAGGCCUAACACAUGCAAGUCGAACGAGUGGCGGACGGGCGAGUAAUGUCUGGGAAACUGCCUGAUGGAGGGGGAUAACUACUGGAAACGGUAGCUAAUACCGCAUACCAUCAGAUGUGCCCAGAUGGGAUUAGCUAGGAGGUGGGGUAACGGCUCACCUAGGCGACGGUCUCUAGCUGGUCUGAGAGGAUGACCAGCCACACUGGAACGGAGAACCGGCCCAAACUCCGACGGGAGGAAGCAGUGGGGAAUAUUGCACAAUGGGCGCAAGCCUGAUGCAGCCAUGCCGCGUGUAUGAAGAAGGCCUUCGUGUUGUAAAGUACUUUCAGCGGGGAGGCGUUACCCGCCGAAGAAGCACCGGCUAACUCCGUGCCAGCAGCCGCGGUAAUAC